rnacentral:tRNA from 1 species
UGUCUCGUAGUUCAGUUGGUUAGAAUGCCUCUCUGAUAAGGAGGAGGUCACUGGUUCGAAUCCAGUCGAGACAACCA